UCUCUUCUACCCGAACCCCCCCUCCCCCCCAAGCAGAGAGACCCCAGCAGCAGCAGCAGCUGAUGAUGAAGAGAGAGGCAGUGGCAGAGGGGGGGCACCUUUUAUUUCUAUUUUUAAAGAGACAGGACACUAAUUUUACCCCACUUCAACCUUGAAUUGAGGGGGGUGGGGGGAAAGGCGGCAGAGUUCCUUCCCCCACCCUCCAGCCCUGAGCCUGAGAGGGGGAUUGAGCCUGAGAGAGAAGGAGAAGGAGUUUCUUCUUCUUCGAAAACCCCCAUCCACGACUCCUACUCCCUCACCCCACCACUAGCCUCCCUCCCGAGCCCCCUCCACCCUCCUCCUCUUUGGCCGUGAGAGGAGGAGAGAAAGAGACCAAAAGCCUCUUAGCAACACAGACCCUUUGCUGCUGCUGCUGCUGCUGCUGUUACUGCUGCUGCUGCUGCUGCUGCUACUGCUGCUGCUGUUUGGCCCUGGCUGGAGACAUCUCACUACACCCAGGAGCAGCCACUUCCCCAGCUCAGCUCCUUCUCCUUCGCCUCCUCCUCCUCCACUCCCCCCCUUUAUUACCCUUUGUGUCAUCCUCCACAGCUCCAGGGAAGGCACUCAAAAGUGGGGGGCAGGAAAGAUGCUUUUUGAGGAUGUCAGCUUCUACAUGUGGGAAGUAAAUAUUGAAGGUUACAUGGUUUACAGACAAGAUCUUUAAAAGAUAGACAUUCAAGGACCAAGGAAACAAAUACCAGAAGCCAAGAGCACAGAAUAUUUUCCUUCAUCAGUUUAUAGAACUCUAAUACAUCGCUAAAUCCAUCAAACACAAAGGAAUGACUGCCUUGGCAGAUGGCCACAGAGGAUGUCAACAAUAUUUUGGAG